rnacentral:rRNA from 1 species
UACGUAGGGUGCGUGCGUUAAUCGGAUUUACUGGGCGUAAAGCGUGCGCAGGCGGCCCGUUAAGACAGGUGUGAAAUCCCUGGGCUCAACCUAGGAAUUGCGCUUGUGACUGGCGGGCUCGAGUACGGUAGAGGGGGGUGGAAUUCCUGGUGUAGCAGUGAAAUGCGUAGAGAUCAGGAGGAACACCGAUGGCGAAGGCAGCCCCCUGGGCCUGUACUGACGCUCAUGCACGAAAGCGUGGGGAGCAAACAGG